AGUGAACGCUGGCGGCAGGCCUAACACAUGCAAGUCGAACGGUAACAGGAAACAGCUUGCUGUUUCGCUGACGAGUGGCGGACGGGUGAGUAAUGUCUGGGAAACUGCCUGAUGGAGGGGGAUAACUACUGGAAACGGUAGCUAAUACCGCAUAACGUCGCAAGACCAAAGAGGGGGACCUUCGGGCCUCUUGCCAUCGGAUGUGCCCAGAUGGGAUUAGCUAGUAGGUGGGGUAACGGCCCACCUAGGCGACGAUCCCUAGCUGGUCUGAGGGGAUGACCCGCCACACUGGAACUGAGACACGGUCCAGACUCCUACGGGGGGCAGCAGUGGGGUAUAUUGCACAAUGGGCGCAAGCCUGAUGCAGCCAUGCCGCGUGUAUGAGGAAGGCCUUCGGGUUGUAAAGUACUUUCAGCGGGGAGGAAGGGAGUAAAGUUAAUACCUUUGCUCAUUGACGUUACCCGCAGAAGAAGCACCGGCUAACUCCGUGCCAGCAGCCGCAGUAA
rnacentral:rRNA from 1 species